rnacentral:tRNA from 2 species
CGGACGUGGCCUAAUGGUAUGGCAUCAGCUUCCCAAGCUGAGGGCUGCGGGUUCGAGCCCCGUCGUCCG